UACGAAGGGGGCUAGCGUUGCUCGGAAUCACUGGGCGUAAAGGGUGCGUAGGCGGGGCUUUAAGUCAGGGGUGAAAUCCUGGAGCUCAACUCCAGAACUGCCUUUGAUACUGAAGAUCUUGAGUUCGGGAGAGGUGAGUGGAACUGCGAGUGUAGAGGUGAAAUUCGUAGAUAUUCGCAAGAACACCAGUGGCGAAGGCGGCUCACUGGCCCGGUACUGACGCUGAUGUGCGAAAGCGUGGGGAGCAAACAGG
rnacentral:rRNA from 1 species